UCCCGAUGGAACAACCGGCAGGUGGCC
rnacentral:piRNA from 1 species